rnacentral:rRNA from 1 species
UACAGAGGUCUCAAGCGUUGUUCGGAUUCAUUGGGCGUAAAGGGCAGGUAGGUGGUCUCAUUUGUCUGGGGUGAAAGCCUUGAGCUUAACUCAAGAAGUGCCUCAGAAACGGUGAGACUCGAGUACUGGAGAGGGUCGUGGAAUUCCCGGUGUAGCGGUGAAAUGCGUAGAGAUCGGGAGGAACACCAGAGGCGAAGGCGGCGACCUGGACAGUGACUGACACUCAACUGCGAAAGCGUGGGGAGCAAACAGG